rnacentral:rRNA from 1 species
GACGAACGCUGGCGGCGUGCUUAACACAUGCAAGUCGAGCGGUAAGGCCCUUUCGGGGGUACACGAGCGGCGAACGGGUGAGGUAACACGUGGGUGACCUGCCCUCAGCUCUGGGAUAAGCCUGGGAAACCGGGUCUAAUACUGGAUAUGACUCCAUGACGCAUGUUGUGGGGUGGAAAGCCUUGUGCGGCUGAGGAUGGGCCCGCGGCCUAUCAGCUUGUUGGUGGGGUGANGGCCUACCAAGGCGACGACGGGUAGCCGGCCUGAGAGGGCGACCGGCCACACUGGGACUGAGACACGGCCCAGACUCCUACGGGAGGCAGCAGUGGGGAAUCUUGCGCAAUGGGCGAAAGCCUGACGCAGCGACGCCGCGUGAGGGAUGACGGCCUCGG